AGCAGCUAGCGUUACUUACUAGAUAACGUUAACAUCUAUCCAAAUCCUGUCUCCAACGCGAAUUAAAUAUGAUCUGGGGUGCAUCCUGUUUCCAUUGAUCAUCCUUGAGAUUGUUCUACAACUUGGAGUCCACCUGUGGUAAAUUCAAUUGAUUGGACAUGAUUUGGAAAGGCACACACCUGUCUAUAUAAGGUCCCACAGUUGACAGUGCAUGUCAGAGAAAACAACCAAGCCAUGAGGUCAAAGGAAUUGUCCGAAGACAAAGGUUCACCUUCCAACAGGACAAUGACCCUAAGCACACAGCCAAGACAACGUAGGAGUGGCUUCGGGACAAGUCUCUGAAUGUCCUUGAGUGGCCCAGCCAGAGCCCGGACUUGAACCCGACCGAACAUCUCUGGGGAGACCUGAAAAUAGCUGUGCAGCGACGCUCCCCAUCCAACCUGACAGCGCGUGAGAGGACCUGCAGAGGAGAAUGGGAGAAACUCCCCAAAUACAGGUGUGCCAAGCUUGUAGCGUCCUACCCAAGAAGACUCGAGGCUGUAAUCGCGGCAAAAGGUGCUUCAACAAAGUACUGACGAAAGGGUCUGAAUACUUAAGUAAAUGUGAUAUUUCAAAUACAUUUGCUAACAUUUCUAAAACUGUUUUUCCUUUGACAUUAUGGGGUAUUGGGUGUAGAUUGUUUUUUUAAUCAAUUUAAUCCAUUUUAGAAUAAGGCUGUAACUUAACAAAAUGUGGAUAAAGUCAAGGGGUCUGAA